UACGGGGGGGGCAAGCGUUGUUCGGAAUUACUGGGCGUAAAGGGCUCGUAGGCGGCCAACUAAGUCAGACGUGAAAUCCCUCGGCUUAACCGGGGAACUGCGUCUGAUACUGGAUGGCUUGAGAUUGGGAGAGGGAUGCGGAAUUCCAGGUGUAGCGGUGAAAUGCGUAGAUAUCUGGAGGAACACCGGUGGCGAAGGCGACAUCCUGGACCAACACUGACGCUGAGGAGCGAAAGCUAGGGGAGCAAACGGG
rnacentral:rRNA from 1 species